UAACGAAUCUUCCGCAAUGGGCGCAAGCCUGACGGAGCAAUGCCGCGUGUGGGAUGAAGCGUCUCUGACGUGUAAACCACUGUCAGGGGUUAGAAACAAUGAUCAACCCCAAAGGAAGUGGCGACUAACUCUGUGCCAGCAGUCGCGGUAAUACAGAGGCCACAAGCGUUAGUCGGAAUCACUGGGCUUAAAGGGUGCGUAGGCUGGUCCGCAAGCGUCUUGUGAAAGCCCUCGGCUCAACCGAGGAACAGCAGGGCGAACUGCGGAUCUUGAGGCAGGUAGGGGUCGCGAGAACAGUAGGUGGAGCGGUGAAAUGCGUAGAUAUCUACUGGAAUGCCGAUGGUGAAGACGCGCGACUGGGCCUGUCCUGACGCUGAGGCACGAAAGCGUGGGGAGCAAACAGGAUUAGAUACCCUCGUAGUCCCUGAGCGGGCUGGCAAGGCGCAU
rnacentral:rRNA from 1 species